rfam:Triticum urartu cultivar G1812 contig502332, whole genome shotgun sequence.
AUAGUACUCCUUCCGUUCCAAAAUAGUUGUCAUCAAAAUAGAUAAAAAUGAUGUAUCUAAAAUUAACAUACGUCUAGAUGCAUUCUCUUUUAUUCAUUUUUUAUAACAAGUAUUUCCGGACGGAGGGGGUACGUC